UACAGAGGUCUCAAGCGUUGUUCGGAAUCACUGGGCGUAAAGCGCACGUAGGCGGAUGUGUCAGUCAGGGGUGAAAUCCCGGAGCUCAACUUCGGAACUGCCUUUGAUACAGCACGUCUUGAGUCCGAUAGAGGUGGGUGGAAUUCCUAGUGUAGAGGUGAAAUUCGUAGAUAUUAGGAAGAACACCGGUGGCGAAGGCGGCCCACUGGAUCGGUACUGACGCUGAGGCACGAAAGCGUGGGGAGCAAACAGG
rnacentral:rRNA from 1 species